CAAUAGCGUAUAUUAAAGUUGUUGCGGUUAAAAGCUCGUAGUUGGAUUUCUGCUGAGGACGACCGGUCCGCCUCUGGGUGAGUAUCUGGCUUGGCCUUGGCAUCUUCUUGGAGAACGUAGCUGCACUUGACUGUGUGGUGCGGUAUCCAGGACUUUUACUUUUGAGGAAAUUAGAGUUGUUUCAAGCAGGCAUGCGCCUUGAAUACAUUAGCAUGGAAUAAUAAGAUAGGACCUCGGUUCUAUUUUGUUGGUUCUAGAGCUGAGGUAAUGAUUAAUAGGGACAGUCGGGGCAUUUGUAUUCAAACGACAGAGGUGAAAUUCUUGGACCGUUUGAAGACAAACUAC
rnacentral:rRNA from 1 species